UGGCGGCGUGCCUAAUACAUGCAAGUCGAGCGGACGGAAGGGAGCUUGCUCCCUGAAGUUAGCGGCGGACGGGUGAGUAACACGUGGGCAACCUGCCUGUAAGACUGGGAUAACUCCGGGAAACCGGGGCUAAUACCGGAUAAUCCUUUCCCUCACAUGGGGGAAAGCUGAAAGACGGUUUCGGCUGUCACUUACAGAUGGGCCCGCGGCGCAUUAGCUAGUUGGUGAGGUAACGGCUCACCAAGGCAACGAUGCGUAGCCGACCUGAGAGGGUGAUCGGCCACACUGGGACUGAGACACGGCCCAGACUCCUACGGGAGGCAGCAGUAGGGAAUCUUCCGCAAUGGACGAAAGUCUGACGGAGCAACGCCGCGUGAGCGAUGAAGGCCUUCGGGUCGUAAAGCUCUGUUGUCAGGGAAGAACAAGUAUCGGAGUAACUGCCGGUACCUUGACGGUACCUGACCAGAAAGCCACGGCUAA
rnacentral:rRNA from 1 species